UACAGAGGAUGCAAGCGUUGUUCGGAAUUAUUGGGCGUAAAGGGCGCGUAGGCGGUGCUGUAAGUCUGUAGUGAAAUCUCUGGGCUCAACUCAGAGUCUGCUAUAGAAACUGCAGUGCUGGAGUGUGGGAGAGGUGAGUGGAAUUCCCGGUGUAGCGGUGAAAUGCGUAGAUAUCAGGAGGAACACCGAUGGCGAAGGCAGCCUUCUGGGCCAACACUGACGCUCAUGCACGAAAGCGUGGGGAGCAAACAGG
rnacentral:rRNA from 1 species